rnacentral:lncRNA from 1 species
AUGCAUUGGGAGGCAGUGAGUGUUACUUUUGCAGAUGUUCUUACACAUGCAGCUAAACUGAAUGGGCAGGCAGAUACUUUCAGAAAAUUAAAUUGCCACAAGGUGGUGAAGACAAGGCUGGCAUUAUGCACAGGUACACAGGUGGGAAAGCAACAGAACAUCCCUGUAGCUACAUCUAGUACCUCUCCCUGUACAAGAGAGCACAGGUUUGCCCCAGAAGACAUUUCCUUGUGCUGUACUGAUAUGCUCUCAAGCUCUGGCUGAAGGGACUCCUGGUGAGCACUGUUGGUUUGCUCAGGAGGUGGAAUAACUCAUCUUUUCUGAAUGAGAAGAGCUAUAUUCUGAAAUAUACAGGUGCCAAUGAGCUCAAGGAAAUGAAACCUUUUUGAAGAACUCCACUUUUGGUCAGAUUUUA